rnacentral:rRNA from 1 species
UACGUAGGUGACAAGCGUUGUCCGGAUUUACUGGGCGUAAAGAGCGCGCAGGCGGUCGAUCAAGUCGAGUGUGAAAGCCCCCGGCUCAACUGGGGAGGGUCAUUCGAAACUGGUCGACUCGAAGGCAGGAGAGGGUAGUGGAAUUCCACGUGUAGCAGUGAAAUGCGUAGAUAUGUGGAGGAACACCGAUGGCGAAGGCAGCCCCCUGGGUCAAAACUGACGCUCAUGCACGAAAGCGUGGGGAGCAAACAGG